AUAAGACCCCUUGAAGAAAACGAGGUAGAUAGGCUCAAGGUGUAAGUGUAGCAAUACAUUCAGCUAGCGAGUACUAAUAGGUCGAAGACUUGACCAA
rnacentral:rRNA from 1 species